rnacentral:rRNA from 1 species
GACUCUCGGCAACGGAUAUCUCGGCUCUCGCAUCGAUGAAGAACGUAGCGAAAUGGGAUACUUGGUGUGAAUUGCAGAAUCCCGUGAACCAUCGAGUCUUUGAACGCAAGUUGCGCCCGAAGCCUUCGGGCCGAGGGCACGCCUGCCUGGGCGUCA